GAGUUUGAUCGUGGCUCAGAUUGAACGCUGGCGGCAUGCCUUACACAUGCAAGUCGAACGGCAGCACGGGAGCUUGCUCCUGGUGGCGAGUGGCGAACGGGUGAGUAAUGCAUCGGAACGUAUCCUGGAGUGGGGGAUAACGUAGCGAAAGUUACGCUAAUACCGCAUAUUCUGUGAGCAGGAAAGCGGGGGACCUUCGGGCCUCGCGCUCUUGGAGCGGCCGAUGUCGGAUUAGCUAGUUGGUGAGGUAAAGGCUCACCAAGGCGACGAUCCGUAGCAGGUCUGAGAGGCUGAUCUGCCACACUGGAACUGAGACACGGUCCAGACUCCUACGGGAGGCAGCAGUGGGGAAUUUUGGACAAUGGGGGCAACCCUGAUCCAGCCAUGCCGCGUGAGUGAAGAAGGCCUCGGU
rnacentral:rRNA from 1 species